CUAAGUUUGUCACACUUUGGUCCCAUUGAAAUCAAUGGGAGAGGUUAGUCACAGCUAACACAAGUCCCAUUGAUUUCAAUGGGAUUAAAGUGUGGCUAACUUAG